rnacentral:rRNA from 1 species
ACACGCAUGACACACUGCAUAUCAAUAAGCGGAGGAAAAGAAACUAACAAGGAUUCCCUUAGUAGCGGCGAGUGAAGCGGGAAGAGCUCAAAUUUGAAAUCUUCAUGGUUCUACCUUGACGAAUUGUAGUUUAUAGAAGUGUUUUCUGUUAGUGGAGUGGCAGAAGUUCUUUGGAAUAGGACAUCAUAGAGGGUGAGAAUCCCGUAUUUGGUCAUUCCUCCUAGCGUUGUGAUACACUUUCAACGAGUCGGAUUGUUUGGGAAUGCAGUCCAAAAUGGGUGGUAAAUUUCAUCUAAAGCUAAAUAUUGGCGAGAGACCGAUAGCGAACAAGUACCGUGAGGGAAAGAUGAAAAGAACUUUGAAAAGAGAGUUAAACAGUACGUGAAAUUGUCAAAAGGGAAGCGUUUGACACCAGUGUUGUUUUUCCGAAAAUCGAUUACGAAUGUUUUGUUUUUAAGAAGUUAUGACUUCAUCGGCUUGCUUCUUUCUUUAUGAAACUUUCUUAAUGCACUUUUCGGUUAACAAGUCAACAUCAAUUUCUUUUGUUGUAAAAGAGUAUGAGGAAGGUGGCUUUCUUUUCGGAGAAAGUGUUUAUAGCCUUGUACCUCUGCAAUCGGAGAGAUUGAGGUCUGCAGCGUAGAUCCUUCGGGGUUAGACUACAUUUGUGCUAAGUUAUAGCUUUUCAUAGACAACUUGUUGAUUAUGUUAGUCCUGUGACUUACUCGCUGAUGCUAUUUUACCUACGCUUAGGAUGUUGACGCAUGAGAUAUACGC